UACAUGUGGGGCAAGCGUUGUUCGGAAUUACUGGGCAUAAAGGGUGCGUAGGUGGCUUGUUAAGUCAGGGGUGAAAGUUUUCGGCCCAACCGGAAAAUGGCCUUUGAUACUGGCGAGCUCGAGUACGUGAGGGGUAACCGGAACGAGCAGUGUAGCGGUGAAAUGCGUAGAUAUUGCUCGGAAGGCCAACGGCGAAGGCAGGUUACUGGUACGCAACUGACACUGAGGCACGAAAGCGUGGGGAGCAAACAGG
rnacentral:rRNA from 1 species